ensembl:lncRNA
CCCGCAAGGCUGGGGGCGGGCUUUUCGGCCCGCUCCGCGCGCUGAUUGGUUGAGCCGCUGCGGGCGGGAAGAGGGGCUGUGGGGGCGCGUUCCCGGCGUGCACCGCGCGGCUGUGAGGGGAGAGGGUCGGAGGGGAACUGGGGCCCAGCAGGUGCCACCAAUGGCUGAGGGUCCCCCGGAGCCACCGGGUACUGGUCUGCAGGGCCUCAUCCCCCCAUCACACUUCACGCUCCGUCCCCCUGCCCCCAGCACCAGCAGGAUGCUGGAGGUGGAGAGGAGGCGGAGCCAAGCUCUGGGCGCGGAGCUUGAGGCAGAGAGGAGGCGGAGCCACAUGCUGGGGGUGGAGCUUGAGGCAGAGAGGAGGCGGAGCCACAGCCUGGAGGCAGAGCUUGAGGCAGAGAAGAGGCGGAGCCACAGCCUGGAGGUGGAGCUUGAGGUGGAGAGGAGGCGGAGCCUACGGUUGGGGGAGGAGCUUGAAGCUGAAAGGAGGCGGGGCCAAGCCAAGGGGGCGGGGCCUGAUGGAGAGAAGCCCUCAGAGGAGACCCCAUUGCUGCUCCGUGCGCAGCUCAGCGCUCUCAGCCACAUCCUGACCCUGCAGGAGCGCGAGCUGAACCGGGAGGCGCUGCUGGGGCGAUGGCGGCAGAAGGUCUUCGCCCUCCUGGUGCAGCUGCGGGUGCAGGAUGAGAGCCAGCAGGUGCAGCGCCUGGCACAGGAGGUGACACGGGAGCGGGGCCGGGCGGAGGCGGCUGAACAGGCACUGAGGGGGCUGUCCCAUGCGGCCACCAGGUUGGCUGUGGUGGUGACACGCUGUGAGGAUGAGGUGAUGGCGGCCAUCGGGGCCAUGGCUGCACUCAGCGACCGCCUGCACCGCGCCGGGCAGCGGCUGAGGGUCCUGCAGGGGCUGGUGGCCCCGGAUCGGCCGCGGUGGCAGCGGGAGGCAGCGGGUGAGACGGCCGCGGUGACACGAGGAACCCAUCGGCUCACAGGGAUGGGGGCUGAGCUGCAGCAUGGCGUGUCCCCACCGUGUCCAGUUGUUGUCACCUCCACCGCAGGGGUGGCCCCGGAGCGGGUGACGGAGGAUGGGGUGACACAGGAUGGGAUAGACAAUGAGUGGCGCUGUGCUCCCUGGUGGCUGAGCUGCAGGCGAUGGGCGCUGCC